CAGACCUCAAAUCAGGUAGGA
rnacentral:rRNA from 2 species